rnacentral:rRNA from 1 species
CCUACGGGUGGCUGCAGUGGGGAAUAUUGCACAAUGGGCGAAAGCCUGAUGCAGCGACGCCGCGUGAGGGAUGACGGCCUUCGGGUUGUAAACCUCUUUCAGCAGGGACGAAGCGCAAGUGACGGUACCUGCAGAAGAAGCACCGGCUAACUACGUGCCAGCAGCCGCGGUAAUACGUAGGGUGCAAGCGUUGUCCGGAAUUACUGGGCGUAAAGAGUUCGUAGGCGGUUUGUCGCGUCGUUUGUGAAAACCAGCAGCUCAACUGCUGGCUUGCAGGCGAUACGGGCAGACUUGAGUACUGCAGGGGAGACUGGAAUUCCUGGUGUAGCGGUGAAAUGCGCAGAUAUCAGGAGGAACACCGGUGGCGAAGGCGGGUCUCUGGGCAGUAACUGACGCUGAGGAACGAAAGCGUGGGUAGCGAACAGGAUUAGAUACCCCGGUAGUC